rnacentral:rRNA from 1 species
CGAGGGGAGAAAAGAUGAAGCAAAAAGGGGAGUCAAGUUUGACUGUUGCUGGCCUUUGGCAUGUUGCACGUCUAACACUCCUUUUCGUUGAUUCUCCAUUCUUGCUCUUUCUCCUUUAACUACACCUGUGCACCUACUGUAGGCCCUCGAAAGAGGGACCUAUGUUUUGCAUCUACUCUAUGUCUAUAGAAUGUAUUGAAGGUCGUCGUUGAUUUGGCGGUCGAAUAUAAAUGUUAUACAACUUUCAGCAACGGAUCUCUUGGCUCUCGCAUCGAUGAAGAACGCAGCGAAUUGCGAUAAGUAAUGUGAAUUGCAGAUUUUCAGUGAAUCAUCGAAUCUUUGAACGCACCUUGCGCUCCUUGGUAUUCUGAGGAGCAUGUCUGUUUGAGUGUCAUUGAAUUCCUCAAACCAUGUUUUGAUUGAUCUUCAAAGCAUUGGGUUUGGAACAUUGGGGGGUUUGCUGGCGGCACAAAGAGUAGUCGGGCUCUCCUGAAAUGCAUUAGCAGGGAAAAAGGGAGUAGGCACCAUGCAAGUCUUUCUUUGACGUGCACGGCGUUGGACGUGAUAAUGAUCGUCAUCGCUGGAGCGUCAGACUUGAUGAAUGGGAGUCUCUCUGUUCAUGCUUCUAAUGUCUCUGAUCCUUUGAGGGCCCUAAUGUUGUCAAGG